rnacentral:lncRNA from 1 species
GGAAGAUGGCAUGUGUGGCCAAUAAUUACCGGAGCUUAGCAAGGCCAGUGGCUGUGAUGUGCAAUUCUCAAAUCAAGGUGCAGCCUGAAGACUCAGCCGGUGCCGCUGCUGCCCUCUGCUACUUGAUUGCUGGCAGCUGGUUGAGCCAUGUCAAGUGGCAGGCAAGGAAAUGUGAAAUCCCAGAUAAAGCACAGAGCCCUAAAAAGCCAUGAAGCUCAAGUAAUGAGAAGAGUGAUGGGGUUUGGGGUUUGGGCAUGCUUAGCAGGCAGGCAGGAGCCAAUGCUAACGCUUUCAACCUCUUCCUCUUCUUGGCUCUGUAUCAUGGCCGUCUGCUUAAAGGGAUGCUGUCUGCUAUCCAGUUAUGGCUGAG